rnacentral:rRNA from 1 species
CAGCAGCCGCGGUAAUACGUAGGUGGCAAGCGUUAUCCGGAAUUAUUGGGCGUAAAGCGCGCGCAGGCGGUUUCUUAAGUCUGAUGUGAAAGCCCACGGCUCAACCGUGGAGGGUCAUUGGAAACUGGGGAACUUGAGUGCAGAAGAGAAAAGCGGAAUUCCACGUGUAGCGGUGAAAUGCGUAGAGAUGUGGAGGAACACCAGUGGCGAAGGCGGCUUUUUGGUCUGUAACUGACGCUGAGGCGCGAAAGCGUGGGGAGCAAACAGGAUUAGAUACCCGCGUAGUCCCUGUCUCUUAUAC